AUUGAACGCUGGCGGCAUGCCUUACACAUGCAAGUCGAACGGCAGCGCGGGAGCAAUCCUGGCGGCGAGUGGCGAACGGGUGAGUAGUGCAUCGGAACGUGCCCAGUUGUGGGGGAUAGCCCGGCGAAAGCCGGAUUAAUACCGCAUGAGACCUGAGGGUGAAAGCGGGGGAUCGAAAGACCUCGCGCGACUGGAGCGGCCGAUGUCAGAUUAGGUAGUUGGUGGGGUAAGGGCCUACCAGGCAUGCGAUCUGUAGAUGGUGUGAGAGGGCGACCAGCCACAAUGGGACUGAGACACGGCCCAGACUCCUACGGGAGGCAGCAGGGGGGAAUUUUGGACAGUGGGCGCAAGCCUGAUCCAGCCAUUCCGCGUGCGGGAAGAAGGCCUUCGGGUUGUAAACCGCUUUUGUCGGGGAAGAAACGGCCUGGGCUAAUACCUUGGGCUAAUGACGGUACCCGAAGAAUAAGCACCGGCUAACUACGUGCCAGCCGCCGCGGUAA
rnacentral:rRNA from 1 species